GACGAACGCUGGCGGCGUGCUUAACACAUGCAAGUCGAACGGAAAGGCCCUGCUUUUGUGGGGUGCUCGAGUGGCGAACGGGUGAGUAACACGUGAGUAACCUGCCCUUGACUUUGGGAUAACUUCAGGAAACUGGGGCUAAUACCGGAUAGGAGCUCCUGCUGCAUGGUGGGGGUUGGAAAGUUUCGGCGGUUGGGGAUGGACUCGCGGCUUAUCAGCUUGUUGGUGGGGUAGUGGCUUACCAAGGCUUUGACGGGUAGCCGGCCUGAGAGGGUGACCGGCCACAUUGGGACUGAGAUACGGCCCAGACUCCUAAGGGAGGCAGCAGUGGGGAAUAUUGCACAAUGGGCAGAAGCCUGAUGCAGCAACGCCGCGUGCGGGAUGACGGCCUUCGGGUUGUAAACCGCUUUCGCCUGUGACGAAGCGUGAGUGACGGUAAUGGGUAAAGAAGCACCGGCUAACUACGUG
rnacentral:rRNA from 1 species